UACAGAGGGGGCAAGCGUUGUUCGGAAUUACUGGGCGUAAAGGGCGCGUAGGCGGCCUUCUAAGUCGAACGUGAAAUCCCUGGGCUCAACCCAGGAACUGCGUCCGAUACUGGGAGGCUUGAAUCCGGGAGAGGGAUGCGGAAUUCCAGGUGUAGCGGUGAAAUGCGCAGAUAUCGGGAGGAACACCGGUGGCGAAGGCGGUUCUCUGGGCCUGUACUGACGCUGAGGAGCGAAAGCGUGGGGAGCGAACAGG
rnacentral:rRNA from 1 species